rnacentral:rRNA from 1 species
GACGAACGCUGGCGGCGUGCUUAACACAUGCAAGUCGAGCGGAGCGGCGAACGGGUGAGUAACGCGUGAGUAACUGCCCCCCUCUCUGGGAUAACAGUUGGACACGGCUGCUAAUACCGGAUAGUGGGGGAUGACUCGGGUCCUAUCAGCUUGGUGGUGGGGUAGUGGCCUACCAAGGCGACGACGGGUAGCCGGCCUGAGAGGGCGACCGGCCCCAUUGGGCUCGGGAAGGAGCCAAAAGCCUACGGGCGGAAGCAGUGGGGAAUAGUGCACAAUGGGGGAAACCCUUAUGCAGCAACGCCGCGUGCGGGAUGACGGCCUUCGGGUUGUAAAGCGCUUUCAGCCAUGACGCGGUAGUGGCAGAAGAAGCACCGGCUAACUACGUGCCAGCAGCCGCGGUAAUUC